rnacentral:rRNA from 1 species
AACGCGAAGAACCUUACCAGCCCUUGACAUGCCGGCUACUUGCAGAGAUGCAAGGUUCCCUUCGGGGACCGGGACACAGGUGCUGCAUGGCUGUCGUCAGCUCGUGUCGUGAGAUGUUGGGUUAAGUCCCGCAACGAGCGCAACCCUCGCCCUUAGUUGCCAGCAUUAAGUUGGGCACUCUAAGGGGACUGCCGGUGAUAAGCCGAGAGGAAGGUGGGGAUGACGUCAAGUCCUCAUGGCCCUUACGGGCUGGGCUACACACGUGCUACAAUGGUGGUGACAGUGGGCAGCGAGCACGCGAGUGUGAGCUAAUCUCCAAAAGCCAUCUCAGUUCGGAUUGCACUCUGCAACUCGAGUGCAUGAAGUUGGAAUCGCUAGUAAUCGCGGAUCAGCAUGCCGCGGUGAAUAC